rnacentral:misc_RNA from 1 species
GAUGAAGAACGCAGCGAAAUGCGAUACUUGGUGUGAAUUGCAGAAUCCCGUGAACCAUCGAGUCUUUGAACGCAAGUUGCGCCCGAAGCCAUUAGGCCGAGGGCACGCCUGCCUGGGCGUCGCACGUCGUUGCCCCCCCAUCUACUCCUUCGGGAUUGCGGGGGGCGGAUGAUGGCCUCCCGUGCGCCUCGCCGCGCGGUUGGCAUAAAUGCCAAGUCCUCGGCGACGCACGCCACGACAAUCGGUGGUUGCGAAACCUCGGUUGCCCGUCGUGUGCGGUCGUCGCGCAUCGAGGGCUCGAAAAAAUUGCCGGGUUCCGGCUCGGCUUUCAACGCGACCCCAGGUCAGGCGGGGUUACCCGCUGAAUUUAAGCAUAUCAAUAAGCGGAGGA